AUUGAACGCUGGCGGCAUGCCUUACACAUGCAAGUCGAACGGCAGCACGGGAGCUUGCUCCUGGUGGCGAGUGGCGAACGGGUGAGUAACAUAUCGGAACGUACCCCGUCGUGGGGGAUAACUCUCCGAAAGGAGUGCUAAUACCGCAUACGACCUGAGGGUGAAAGCGGGGGACCUGCAAGGGCCUCGCGCGAUGGGAGCGGCCGAUAUCGGAUUAGCUAGUUGGUGAGGUAAAGGCUCACCAAGGCGACGAUCCGUAGCGGGUCUGAGAGGACGACCCGCCACACUGGAACUGAGACACGGUCCAGACUCCUACGGGAGGCAGCAGUGGGGAAUAUUGGGCAAUGGGGGAAACCCUGACCCAGCGACGCCGCGUGGGUGAAGAAAUCCUUCGGGAUGUAAAGCCCUGUUGUAUGGGAAGAGCGGAAGACGGUACCAUACGAGGAACGCCCGGCAAACUACGUG
rnacentral:rRNA from 1 species